AGUAACACUUCAGUAUGAAUAACUGACAAUAACAAGCCAAACUGCAAACAAAAUAGAAACUGCACCAGGUUACUUUGGGGCCAUUGUUUUUAUUCUUAACUACUUGCCAUUCAAUCGAGCCUAGUAAUUUUUAAAGACGAGUUAACUGGAGGAAUACCCUUAAAAAAGAUUAUGUAGGUUUUACACCACUUUGCCAUUGUUUUCCACUUGUGGCUGGGAUAAGCAUCCGGUACUUGUGCGUGUGAGUGGCUCCCUUUUGUUUUCAGUUGUCAGAUGAUGUUAGAAGUGGUGGUCAGACCUAAAGAGAUGCGGCUUCACCGAGCAUUUUUGAAGUGAUUUUCUCUGUGGAUGAUCUGCUGCAGGUCAGUUCAGUCAAGAAGGUAUCUGCAGUAGCCUGAAGUUUGGAAAGCUCCCUCAGCACAGCAGAAUUCCUCUGGAAGGUAUGACCUACUCUUUGAAAGUGGUGGAAAAUACUUAUUUUUAAUCACCUUCAUCUCAAGAGCUGUAAUUGAGGUUAUGAAGUUGUAGUGGAUUAACAGGGCAUUAUUCAAGCUCCAAUAAAGAUUUUCAUAAUAUUUUAAUAAUGCGCCACUACUAAAUCUCAUGUGAAAGGAAAGCGUGGUAUUCUCUCGCCUUGCAAAUCACCUUUAUUCUGUCCCCUCUGGUUGCA